rnacentral:rRNA from 1 species
UUCGGGGGGAAACGGACAGAGCUCGUGAAUCCGGGCGACGGAAUUCAGAAUUUGUGACGUUCACGCGUCGCAGGCUCGAUAUUUCCGUCGCCGCGGACGUCGCGACCCGUUCGGUGUCGGUCUGAGGAGACGUGCGAAAGUUCGUUGACGCGUAAACUUGUUUGGCGCGUCGACGAGUGCGCGUUUUUAUUCUGGCUGACUCGCCGGACGGUAUCAACGGUGGUCGCGGCGAUCUUCGCAUCGCCGUCGAUACCUGUCUGCGACGAAUCUUCGAGUCUCUUUCCGACCCGUCUUGAAACACGGACCAAGGAGUCUAACAUGCGCGCGAGUCGCGGGGUAUCGAGCGGUCGGUGUUCGCAUCGGCCGCUCGUUAUAAUACGAAACCCGUCUCGUUUUACGAAAGGCGCAAUGAAAGUGAAUUUUGGGGAAGAUGACGUUACCGAGUUCACGUUUCGUAUUCUCGUAAUACGACCGGUCGUCCGCAUUCCCAGGGUGUCUCAAAGUUCGAUUUUAUUGCGGAUCGUCGUCUCUUCGGGGGCGGCGGUCGGAUUUGAUCGGGCUGAGGCGCACCUAUAGCGUGCAUGUUGGUACCCGAAAGAUGGUGAACUAUGCCCGGCCAGGAUGAAGUCAGGGGAAACCCUGAUGGAGGUCCGAAGUGGUUCUGACGUGCAAAUCGAUCGUAUGAGCUGGGUAUAGGGGCGAAAGACUAAUCGAACCAUCUAGUAUGGGGCCCCCCCAAAAAAAAAAAAAAAAAUCCCGAU